UCUGGUGACUAUAGCAAGGAGGUCACACCUGUUUCCAUGCCGAACACAGAAGUUAAGCUCCUUAG
rnacentral:rRNA from 1 species